AUACGUAGGGUGCGAGCGUUGUCCGGAAUUACUGGGCGUAAAGAGCUCGUAGGUGGUUUGUCGCGUCGUCUGUGAAAUUCCGGGGCUUAACUCCGGGCGUGCAGGCGAUACGGGCAUAACUUGAGUACUGUAGGGGAGACUGGAAUUCCUGGUGUAGCGGUGAAAUGCGCAGAUAUCAGGAGGAACACCGGUGGCGAAGGCGGGUCUCUGGGCAGUAACUGACGCUGAGGAGCGAAAACAUGGGUAGCGAACAGGAUUAGAUACCCUGGUAGUCCAUGCCGUAAACGGUGGGCGCUAGGUGUAGGGGUCUUCCACGACUUCUGUGCCGUAGCUAACGCAUUAAGCGCCCCGCCUGGGGAGUACGGCCGCAAGGCUAAAACUCAAAUGAAUUGACGGGG
rnacentral:rRNA from 1 species